GGAUUCCCCUAGUAACUGCGAGUGAAGCGGGAAAAGCUCAAAUUUAAAAUCUGGCAGUCCUCUGGCUGUCCGAGUUGUAAUCUAGAGAAGUGUUAUCCGCGCUGGACCGUGUACAAGUCUCCUGGAAUGGAGCGUCAUAGAGGGUGAGAAUCCCGUCUUUGACACGGACUGCCAGGGCUUUGUGAUGCGCUCUCAAAGAGUCGAGUUGUUUGGGAAUGCAGCUCAAAAUGGGUGGUAAAUUCCAUCUAAAGCUAAAUAUUGGCGAGAGACCGAUAGCGAACAAGUACCGUGAGGGAAAGAUGAAAAGAACUUUGGAAAGAGAGUUAAACAGUACGUGAAAUUGCUGAAAGGGAAACGCUUGAAGUCAGUCGCGUUGGCCAGGGAUCAGCCUUGCUUUUGCUUGGUGUACUUUCUGGUUGACGGGUCAGCAUCAAUUUUGACCAUUGGAAAAAGGUCAGGGGAAUGUGGCAUCUUCGGAUGUGUUAUAGCCCUUGGUUGCAUACAAUGAUUGGGAUUGAGGAACUCAGCACGCCGCAAGGCCGGGUAUUAAACCACGUACGUGCUUAGGAUGCUGGCAUAAUGGCUUUAAUCGACCCGUCUUGAAACACGGACCAAGGAGUCUAACAUGCCUGCGAGUGUUUGGGUGGAAAACCCGAGCGCGCAAUGAAAGUGAAAGUUGAGAUCCCUGUCGUGGGGAGCAUCGACGCCCGGACCAGACCUUUUGUGACGGUCCCGCGGUAGAGCAUGUAUGUUGGGACCCGAAAGAUGGUGAACUAUGCCUGAAUAGGGUGAAGCCAGAGGAAACUCUGGUGGAGGCUCGUAGCGAUUCUGACGUGCAAAUCGAUCGUCAAAUUUGGGUAUAGGGGCGAAAGACUAAUCGAACCAUCUAGUAGCUGG
rnacentral:rRNA from 1 species